GAGGUGACGUCAUCCAAACUCGGAAGUGGAACGUUACAGUUACAGUGAAAGCGAAAGUGAAAACACGAGGAACUCAUGUAGUUAUCAUCCAAGAAUCAAAUACAGUCCAGCAGCCUUGCCAGAUAUCUAGAUGGAGAAUUCUGUGAGAUUAAAUAUUCUUUUAUUUUCGUGACGCGAUUUCAGUGUGUGAACGGUUUCAGUCCAUCAGGUAAGGUAAACCGCGUUUUCUUAAAGACUGAUUCACGGGAAUUAUCUCGAGCAAAUAAAAUGAAAUAUACAGUCACCUCUUCCAGACAAACGACGGAAGCUGUGCACGUUUUGUAAAGAUUUAAAAUAUCUGAAUCCAUUUUGCGCUUCACUCGAAUGUACGGUGCAAUUUUGAACUGACUCCGGAUCAAAACGGAGACUGCAGAGAGACUACAGUAUAUCAAGUUAAGACUGCCUUUCUUGAAAGAAAACCUUCGAAAUCAGGAGUUACAGUUUACUGGGAUGUUUGCAAUGACCGAGAGGGGCAUUAUCACUGAGGCCCGAUGCGAUCAAUCCACACACAGGAGUUUAUUAUUCACACACUUUCCGAAGAUGCUCAGAAAAUGUACAUCAGUAACGCAAUGAAAGGAAACUAUGCUGCUGUAUUUGCUCCGCUCAUUAUCGAUGGAAAAUCUCAGGCUGGAGCUCAUCAUUGCAGUACACUACAGUCACAGUCGCAGACAGUUUGGCCUGAAGGACCAGGAUGAGGUGAAGUUCAUCGAGCACCAAACGCAGUAUCUGAGACCUGGCUGCUGCCCUCGUGCUCACCUUCAACACCAGGUUUGAUGGAUCGUGCUUUGUGUCAGGGUCGGGAUCUUCAAGCUCUCGUCGCAGGACUCGAAGCCUGCAGCACGUGGGAGAACGUUGCGUGUCUGCAAGACUGCCGAUAGUUUACUGGCAGCAUGGUAGAGCAAAACAGAUGAGUUUUUUGUGGGAACGCCUGUUUACAUCACGUGACCAUUUUAGCUAUGGCACACAUACACCGAAGUGAGAGAAAAGGGAAGUUCAUGUACAUUAUUUAUAGUCCAUGUGUUGCAUGAAUGUGUGCAGAUGCUCUUUUUACUGUACAUCCACAUUUUUACAGAAGACUUUAACAUUAUAAAAAGGGGUCCAAAAGAUCACCCUGUAGGAUGCUGGGAUGCCGUAUGCACAACAACCCCAAAAUGUGUUUGUACACUGAAGCCACUCUUAAAAAGUAAUGUAAAAGAAUUUAUUAAAAUAAAGCAUAAAAAAGUUAGACACUAUUCAAGAACAGGAUUUCACAAAAAGACUAGCUGGUCAUUGCAAAAUUGGCUUAGAAAUGGGAAGUUAGUUCUCAGGAAUUGCCAGAUGAUCUUACCAACUACAGAGACAUGUAAAACAUCAAACUAAUUUUUCUAAUUACAUUAAGGAUGACAGAGUGGCUAUUCUUAAUAUUUUUGUCUAAAUUUCCAAUUUAAAUAUUUGGAAAAUACAAAAAGUUACAUUUAAGUUGCCAGUUUGGAACAACGAUUACUGUUUAGUGAUUUUACUAUAUUCAUCUAUUAAAUAAUUACAAUAUAUUUCAAAUGAAUCAAUGAUUAAUAAAUGUAAAAUCAAUUAUUGAAGUAAAGUAUAAUUAUGCAAUUAUUAAUGUUAUAUUAAAGAAAAUAAUAAUAUAACAUUUAUAACACAAAGACAUUUUUAUCUUGUUAAUUGUAGAGUCUUAAUAUCAUAAGCUGUGUUUUUGAAGUAAAAUGUAGGGGGUUUGAAAUAUUUGUUCAGGAAAAUAAGUCAAAAGAUUAAUUUAAAAGACUUUUCUUGUAGUGAGGAUGUUGCUGCCACAGAUCCCUAAAUGCUGUAUUAUUUUACCUUUAAAUGUGUGAACAAGCACAGUGUAUUAAUAGUGCAUCUGUGUGAGGUCUAGAGUAGGUGAUUCAUGUGCCCAUGUAGACUAUAAACUCACCACACGUCUUUGAUCAUUAAAGACACUGUUUAACUUCCCUUUGACUUUCUGAUUCACUCUUACACCCAGUAAGCAACAGAAAGGUGCUGUGCAUCUCUCAGCCUCUGAUGUUCUAGAGUAUUUCCACAUGCUCAGUCUCUGUGUGUGUGCGCGUGUGUGUAUGGGUUUGUGUGUCAAGAUAUAUUUUCCUCCCCUGAUAGCAAAUUUCCAUUCUCUCACCCUCCUCCCACACACUUAUACACACACACACACACACACCCCGAGAUCAUGCGCUAAUUUUCUCUGAGAUGCUUCUGAUAACAUUGAGAUGAGGGGCUUUUUAUUCACACCUUGCACAAGUGUUCCAUUUUGGGCUUUCAUUUAUGAUAUUAAUACGGACUUACACAUACGAUUGUAACACACAGUAGCGGUCACAGAUCACAGAAUAUUUAUUACAUUGUUCAGUGCCUCACAAAUAAGUCAUACAGAGAGAGUCACAGGCACAGUAAGGAGAUGCAAAGAGCCACAUCUGUAAAUUCAAGCACUGUUGUUCAUUCAAAGCAUCAAAUAUGUGAUUUUCAUAUAACAGCAAAUAGCAAUAGCAAACAAAGGCAAUUUAAAAUGCUCAUAAUCAUGCUUAUGAGAUAAAAGAGUUUGAUGCAAUAUGAAAAUGUACUGUAAAAUUUAGAACUUUAGACUUGACAAUGCAAAAAGUGCAGUUAUUGAAUGAUUAGUGAUCCGAUUAAGUAUUUACUUCUUUUUUUUAUGUUACUACUUGUUUCAGAAUGUAACAUUCAAAAGUAAAAUGAUCAAAUGGAAUAUUGCAACUUUUAAAUAAUUUUAAAAAAUGGAACAUUCCAAAAGAAUGGUUUUUGUCACUUAAUUGGAACAUUAGAAAAAUAUUCUUAGAACAUACUUUCAGUUAAAAGAUAUUCAUUACAUUUUUGGUAGUUUUCUUACUCUAAAAUGUUAAUUCACUAGCUGAAUCCAAAAUAUGAUGAUUUAAAUGAUAAAUAAGUUUCUAUUUUAUAUUGUUUGUGGUCUUUCCUCUUUUAAGCUGGUUAUAAAUAUUGUCUAGAUAGAAAACAUCUGCCCGGGGGUGCAGCAGACUUUGGUACAUCAAAGCACUGCUUUUCAUUUCAAAUUCGGAAGGACUGUUUCUUAAAGACAAAGUGUCCCAUUUUAUUUUAGGAGUCAGGGAGAAGGUGAAGAAUAAUCAGAAGAAAAAAAAAGCACUAUUUUACUGUUUCGAUACAAAUAACUAGGACCUCAGGGGAACAAUGUUUAAUGCAGCACCUCCUUCUAAUUUCACUAUUAUGCUACUAGUUGCUCUUAUUAUGUUUCUGCAGUGACCUUGGAGCAGUUUGCUCUCGCCGUCAAGAUUGCCAUAUCAAAGAGGAUUGUGCCUUGCUCACCAAGUUCUGCCUUCUUCAUGGCACUAGUCUGGUGUAUCAGGAGAGUGUGGUACCUGGACCCUCAACACCAACCGACAGAUCCACAGCUAGCUUUUGGGGCUGUGCAGAUCGGUGAAGGAUGAUGCGCUGAAGAUGGUCGAUGAUGGUCCAGGACAUCCCAUCCUCCUGCGUCCAGGCUCCUAUCGCUGGAGUCGACAAUCCCAGGGCCGAAUGGGCCCACAGUACCCCAGCAGCACCCAACCACAGUCUAUGCUCUAUAAAAGAGAAUGAACAUGACUUUAUGAGGAUGAGGAAGAAUGAUGGAGUGACAUCAGGUUUCCUGAUGUUCUUUCACACUGGGUCGUAGUGAUGAUGGGCUAAUUGGAGGGUUUUAUGAUUAAGCACGUGAAUGGUAGAACUUGCUGCUAAUGACCAAGGCCUUCAUUUAAAUAUACUAUGGGCAUUACACUAUUUUUACUUGUUCACUCUUAAUAAGAAAGGUUUCAAAGGGACGGGUUUGCAACAAUGCCGCAGAAGAACCAUUCUGAGUUCCAGAAAAGAACCUUUCGGAUAGUUCCGGUCCUUGAUUCUGAUUGGUUGAGCCAAGUUCGAAGCUGUUGUAAAUUACUCUACAAACAUACACCUUUGUUUACAUUUGUAUGUUGCUCAGCAACUACUUUGUUGGAACCACAAUGGUUUCUGAGGAACUACAUUGUUUGGCGGAAGAAUAUUUUGUUUCUUAAUAUCAUUACACUUUAUUUGCUCUGUUAAGAUUCUUCAUGUAAGCAAAGAUGCCAAUAAAGAACCUUUCAUUGAA